CAGUGUCUCUUAUUUUCUUAAUCUUAAAUUUAAACAAUUUUUAACCUAAUCUUAUUUCAACAUAAUCUAUCUACAUUGCUCUUAUACUAAUUAAUACUAUGUAUGCCGUACUUAAAGUACAUCUAAUUCCUUCGCUUGUCAUUUCCAAGGUUUGAGACGAUCGGACGAAAGAAUUGUGUUAAAUGGACGCGUUGUCAAGUUAAAACCAGUGAUGUCUCCCCUUCGAAACGAUUCAUGGAGUCAUUAGCCAUUAGACAGCUCGAUUCAUAGUCUGGCUGAAGAAAGCUAUUGCCGCCCAAUUAUUAUUCUGCUUCUGUAGCAGUAUAGCUCCAAGGUCCAGAUGAUUGGCAUCUGUAUGUAGCUCAGUCUCUGCUGCUGGAUUAUACAAGCACAACAUGGGAAAUGAGAUACUUCAAGACUCGUUCAAGACAGCUAGAUUCUGGUCUACGGUUUCCGACGGUAUAAGAAUAUCAUCUAUAUAAACGAUAACCUUGUUUUGCCGUAUGAGCGAAUCCAAUAUUUGCAAAAGACGCUUCUGGAAUUCCGCAGGAGCUUCUGAAUACCCGAAUGGUAAAUAUUUGUAUUCGUAUUGCCCAUCAGGCGUAGCGAAAGCAAAAUACUUUGUAUAUUCCUCAUGUACUUUGAUAUGAUGAAACCCGUCCUUCAAAUCUAACAACGUAAAUACUGACUUUCCAUAAAGUCUCGACAAACAAUCCUCGAUUACCGGAAAAGGGUACGAUCCUUGCGCAAUAUGGUGAGAUACUCUACUGGAUGAUCCCUCGAUUCAAAAGCAGUACGAGUAUUUCUUUUAGUACCGCCAAGUUUUAUUCUACUGUGUUGGAUAGGAUGAGGAUAUCGUCUAUGUAUACUAUUACUUUUUCUUCGCGGAUAAGCGGGUCGAGAAUUUGCAACAGUAUUUUUUGAAAUUCCGCCGGUGCCUCUGAAUAUACUCGGUAUGACACGUGCACAGUACGGCGAGAUGCUUGGCUGUAUUAUUUUACGCUUCAACAAAUCAUCAAUAAUCUCGCGAAUCUGCAGACGCUCCACGUAUGCGAAACGUCGAGGGGCGAAUGUAUAGACGGAUGGUCUUUGAAGUGUACGCGGACGGAAUACUCUCAUCUAUUGGUAUGAUCUCACUUGUUAAAUCCUUCACAUAAAGAGGGAGAUUGGCAAAAAGGCGCACUUCCGCGACCGGAUUGAUAACUGCUCUGCCGUGUAACUUAUAAAUCAGGAUGGAAGUUACUUGUAUGUGAGGAAUGGCUCCAACCGGUUGCUGGCGUCUGUUACCACAGGGCCACAGCAUUCGUCUUCGUGUCCUGGAAUAGCUGCUGCUGCCUGGACCGUUGUUGCUGGCCAGCACCGCUAACGCCUCUCCUUUGUCGGGCAGCUGGACAGUCAUACUGCCGGUGUCUUUUGUUCUUACAGAAAAAGCAGAUAAUUUCUCCACGACAGAUUUUGUGCGAGUGCCCAGCUUUAUCGUAGUUGCGGCAUGAUGUCUCUUUAGACUUUGGCCCGCUCGCUGGCACAAAUACGCCAGGUCCGAAAACCCUUCCGUGAUGCCCUUGCGCAUUUUUUCAAGGAAAGUGUCUAGCGAGGUAUCAGCCAUGGACAGCGUGGUGACUCUCAGGGCUUUGUUGUUCACGCCGCUGAUCAAGAGGUGGAUUACAUCUUUGGUAGAUAAGUCCAAUGGUUGUAACAAUUUUGUUAUCACGUAUUGAUCGCUAAUUUUGUUAUCACGUAUUGAUCGAAUGUUUCACGAUGCGGUAACUACUUUCUUGCCUCGAUCUUUUGCAUGACUUUGUAGAAGGGGACCUGUCUGCUGAAUACCUUCCUGAGUUCCGGUUUCAAACCGUACCAGGAUUCUAUCAUUGCUCCGCUCUGAAAAUCGUACCACUGCCUCGCAAAUUUGACAACUUGCUCGAGGUGGCCAGCAAUGUCGCUCCAUCCGGUGCUCCGUGCACCUGCGACACCUUAUCCACUCUUUGUAUUCAUACAUUAACAUUUUCGCUUUCAGAGCCUCCAAACUCAGGGAUUUGAGAAGUCAACUAAGUGACCGAGCUCCCCCUAGUGAAACCCUCGGCCAAGAGUAUUUCCUGAAAUACCUGAGCCGGUGAGGAGGCUGCCUGUGAGCCGCCUGGCUCAGAUCUUGGAUCUUCCCGUUCUCCGACUACAUCAGGAGUAAUGUCUCCGCUACUUGCGAUAACGUAUGGUAGAGCACCGCCGUUGUCACGGGCUGCUCCAGAGGCGUCACCGCCGACGAACCACCGGUUUCUUCUCGAGCGAUUUCUGAUGGGCCAUGCUUAGCUACAUGAGCCAGGAUUGCUUCAACGAGGACCACUCUGUCAUCCGACACAGGGAAAUGAAAACGUCGAGCUUCCUUCUGUAGCUGCUCCAGGACUGCUCGGUCCAUCGCCCUCGUCUUCAUCAUCUACGGCCAUCUUCCCUCUCUCAACUCCACGCGACACAAUGGGCGCAUAAGUGGAAAUCUUACUUCUGAUAUUAAAUGCUGUAAGAUGUUAUUUUUUAAAUGUUCAAAUUUUUAAAAUAAAUGGAUCGAAAUCAGGA